GACGAACGCUGGCGGCGUGCUUAACACGUGCAAGUCGAGCGGAAAGGCCCUUUCGGGGGUACUCGAGCGGCGAACGGGUGAGUAACACGUGAGUAAUCUGCCUCUGGCUUUGGGAUAGCUUCGGGAAACCGAAAUUAAUACCGAAUAUGACACGGUUUCGCAUGAGAUCCGUGUGGAAAGUUUUUCGGCCAGGGAUGGGCUCGCGGCCUAUCAGCUUGUUGGUGGGGUAAUGGCCUACCAAGGCUUCGACGGGUAGCCGGCCUGAGAGGGUGACCGGCCACACUGGGACGGAGACACGGCCCAGACUCCUACGGGAGGCAGCAGUGGGGAAUAUUGGACAAUGGGCGGAAGCCUAAUCCAGCAACGCCGCGUGAGGGAUGACGGCCUUCGGGUUGUAAACCUCUUUCACCACCGACGAAGCGCAAGUGACGGUAGGUGGGGAAGAAGCACCGGCCAACUACGUGCCAGCAGCCGCCGUAACAC
rnacentral:rRNA from 1 species